AUAAGAACCUCUUCCCCUCCCUUGUCCAAGUGUGUGCUCACCAUUGCUCCAUAUGCAAGGGCACAUGCUUCUAUAGAAGUACAUUGCCUUGCGAGAAUUACAAAGAAAAUUUUAUAUUGGAGUGAUAUUUCUUUUGUGGCACCAAAACUUUAUUUAUAACAAUUUGGGGGCUCAUCCAGGAUUACAUUCCCCUCCGAGGGUGAUCUCUGGUCCUCUCUUGCAAGCAGGCUUGCUCCGCCCCCUUGUGGCAGCCUCAGGGGUGAGAAAUCAGGACCCACCCAGUGCAAGAUAUAACUUGAGCUCUCAGCAAUGCAGAAAGAAACUCCCUAGCAACCUAGCUGCAGGAAUGACUCUGUGCACAGAUCAAGAAAGGAGAAGCCACGGGAGCUGAAAGCCUCACCAGAUACCACCCCCUUCUAUCUUGAACUUCUCAGCCUCCGUAACUGUGAGAAAUAAAUUUCUGUUUACUAUAAAUUACUCAAUCUGUGGCAUUCUGUUAUAGCAGCACAAAAUGGAUUAAGACAUCUCUCCUGGUACUUAUGCUUUCUUGGAGGAGGAGGUAAUAUGGGUCUGACCUUAAGAAAAUAGGACCUUCCAUUUUCUAGCUCCUGGAACACUUCCACUUAGCACCCAGCCAUCAGACUGUGUAUGAGGAGAGGAACUGAGACCUGCAGACCAAUAACCUAAGCUGAACUCGCAGCUGAAAGCUAACCCACCUCUAAUGGACUCUCCACUCAAAAUCCAGAUUAGUGAACCAAAUAUAUGACUGUUGUUUUUAAGCCACUAUGUUUUAGCAUGGUAUGUUACACACCAAUAGAUAACUAAAACUGUUCUCUCACCAUCUCAACAUCCUCUUCAUAUUUUCUAAAUAAUAAAAUAUGCCAUUUGAUUUUACAAGAAACAAAUGUUAGAUGGCAGGGCUGAAGUUAAAUGGGAACCUAAUGUUCACAACGACUAACAGAUUUGUAAAUUGAGCUUAUAUGUCUACAUCAAAGUUCUCAAUCUUUAUUUAUGCUAUAGUUUAAAGCAUGACUAUACUUUUCAGCUGACUCUCUUGAAAAGUGGAGUAUAAUUAAUAUAUUGAUACCUGGAUAUAUUAUAUUUUAGUUCAUGAUUCCAUUUAGUCCUGAAAAAUAGAAGGCAUUGUCAUUUUGUAGACAUCUCCUUGAUAUAUUUGUGUUAGAGUUAACUCAAUUUUUUAAAUGUAAGAUUUAACUCUAUGACACUAAUCACCUGUCAUCAGUCACUGACUAUAGUUCAAUAUCAUUUGAGUCACCAAGGCUAAGAUAUACCAGAUAACUGUUUCAGUACAGGUGAUUUGCAUUUAUCAUCUAAGAGCUUAUAAGAACCUCCUCUCACUAAAAUAUCAGAGGUCUAACUUUUACCCCCUUCCUCACAUCAAAAGCAUAAAACGCUGAGAUAUAUAAAGAGGAGAUUUCAGGGAGUUUGAGAACUUACUCAAAUGAUGUAACUCAUUUGACAAAUGACUUGCUUCAUGCAUCUUUUAGAUAGCUAAGUCCAAUUAGCUAAAAUUAUAGUUGAAUUGAAUAUGUAAAUAUCUAUAAAGUUGGCCUAAUUAGAUCCAUAGGGUGGUGUAGCAUCUGUGUUUAAAGCCCAGCAAUUGUGAAGAGGUUUUGGUUGCAAGCUUAGGGGAGGCUGUGAAGACUGGCAAGUCUAAGUCCUCCCGUGGAAUCUGAGAUUUCACAGGUAGUAUCUGAGGAUGGGUGUGAGAUUACUGCUCAAGCCAGAAAGAUUAACAGCUGCCUCAAUGGGAAUAAGAGUCACUAGGAAAUUUGAUUCUAUCAUUCCUGAAUCCAAGGUGGCGUUAACAAGCUUAUUAUGUAAGAAAGCAGCCUCUGUUACUAAUCUAAGCUGUAUCUGUUUUUCUGCUUACGCCUAUGAACCAGAACAUAAGAAGUAGUAGAACAAAUGAUAUGAAUCUACAAAUUAUGCCACGUAUUUUAAUUCUUCACUAUUUAAAUAAUUAAAAACUAAGUUUUCUUCUAAAUGUGUCACAUAGUAUAGAUUUUCUAGGGUGCACUUAAGAAAUUUGGUGUACUCAAGAUGAUCAACCUGUCUCAAAAUAAACUUAGAUUUUUUGAAGACUCUUCUGUUAAAUUGGACUUUGACCAUCACUGACACUUAUUUUGACCUUAUAAUACCAUAAAUAUGUACCCUUGAUCAAGACUCCAGCUGAUAGACCCUUAGCAUAGAUACAUAAAAAUAAUAAACCUUAUCUGAACAUCUGUUUUAAGUCAGCUUUUGCUGUGGAAGCUGUUACAAUUACAAAUUAUUUCCAUUUGAUUUCACUGAAAUUCAAUUAACUUCGAGCAAAAAUUAGCAACACUAAUUUUUAAAUAAGGAUGGGGUGAAGGUGAUAGUUAUUGUGGAGCAUUGAUAUGAUAGAAGCAGUGAGGGUAGAAAAUGUGUGAACGUUAAAUGCCUUUAUUACUCAUUUUACAUUUCAUCAGGUAUCAGAUGGCAUGAAAAUACGCUGUCUUGGUCUAUUUUCUUGCUACCACCCCUAAGAUAUCACAUACUUGGCUGUUUCUUAUUCUAAAACCACAGUCCCUUGGGGGCUAGCUAUUAUUUUAAUGAUCAGAGUGAUGAUGAGUCUCUGAAUACCUUAAGGUUUGUAUACUAAGGAUUAUCUCAAUUUAGCUAACAUAAGCUCUAUGAAUGUGUUGCAUAUAAAAUCAUUUUAUCUAAGGCCACAUAUUCUCAAAAGACAUAUUAUGUUGUAUUUUACACCUGAUGCAUUUACAGUUACCACUAACAAGCAAGAAAAAAAUCUCCUCUACAGAGUUUGAAGUAUAUAUUUUUAAAUUAUUGUUGCUUCUAAAAAUACAAAAAUAGAUUUGGAGGUUGAUAUUUUUGGCAGGGGCUCUGAAUAUUUUCAUGUGGAAGUCAGCAACCUAAUAAGCCUGACUUACUGAGUGGAUCAGUGGGUUGUAAUUCUGGUAACUUAUUUUUUAACUAGCUUGAGGCUAGGUCUAUCUCAAUUAUGCUUCAGGUUGUAUAAUAGAUUAUAUGGCAUAUUCAAUAAAGUUGAUAUUGUAUUAAACACAGUAGAGACAAUUAAUGAAUAUUUUUUUCUCGUGAGUUGAUAUUUUAAAAAGAGUUAAUUAUGUAGAAUUUUUUGAAAGGCUUUAUUCAAUAGGACUCAAUACCGGUCUGAUCAUCAUCCUACGAUAAUGGGAUAUGGGUCACAGCAGGGAGAAAAUCAAUAGUGCUGAUGGGCUAUUUUAUUUAAAUCUCAAGCAGUUUUCUCUUCAUAAUAAGAAGAUGUUUUCCAAUUAAAUUGUAAAUUUGAACUAAUAUAUUGUUUUAUAUAAGAUACUUUAUAACUUA
rnacentral:lncRNA from 10 species